rnacentral:sRNA from 3 species
AUGUACCCACGUACAUUCCGGUUCCUCCGUGCCGUCCACACCCACCUGACGACUGCUCGCUACGUUUUGUCAGCC